CUUGUUCAGAGUUCUCUGGUGGCCUUUUGUAUCUUCUCUCCAUUCAUGAGCUAUGGUUUCUUUACUUGUCAACAAGAGGUGAAAAUAUAUAGACCAAAGACAGAUCAGUCGCAUUGUUGACUUUCAGCCAAGUGUUAGGAAGACCCUAGUGACACAGCUCAGUCAAGAUUUUCAUGUAGCGUCCUAGUGGGUGCAUGAAGGGGAAGCCAGGCUUUAGGAGUGGAGGUCUGGAAGGAGUGCGUGAGAUGCAGAAGGGGCGGCCUGCAGUUUCCUGACACAUACUGGACACCUGGCUGAUGGAAUCUGAUGAGCUGCCAAGUCACAUUGGUGGGAUGUGACUCAGAGAAGGGAGCCACACACGUGACAGCUUGGUGGCAUUUGUCUUGAUGAAAUGCUUACACUUGAUAGACUGUUGGAUUACCACUGUUACUGCAAAAGAUGAGCUAAUGGCACUCGCUUUGAUUCAUACUAUACAAAAACAGGAAAAAAAAUAAAACAAAUCUAUAAAA